rnacentral:rRNA from 1 species
GAUGAACGCUGGCGGCGUGCCUAAUACAUGCAAGUCGAGCGAACGGACGAGAAGCUUGCUUCUCUGAUGUUAGCGGCGGACGGGUGAGUAACACGUGGAUAACCUACCUAUAAGACUGGGAUAACUUCGGGAAACCGUAGCUAAUACCGGAUAAUAUUUUGAACCGCAUGGUUCAAAAGUGAAAGACGGUCUUGCUGUCACUUAUAGAUGGAUCCGCGCUGCAUUAGCUAGUUGGUAAGGUAACGGCUUACCAAGGCAACGAUGCAUAGCCGACCUGAGAGGGUGAUCGGCCACACUGGAACUGAGACACGGUCCAGACUCCUACGGGAGGCAGCAGUAGGGAAUCUUCCGCAAUGGGCGAAAGCCCGACGGAGCAACGCCGCGUGAGUGAUGAAGGUCUUCGGAUCGUAAAACUCCGUUAUUAGGGAAGAACAUAUGUGUAAGUAACUGUGCACAUCUUGACGGUACCUAAUCAGAAAGCCACGGCUAACUACGUG